GAUGAACGCUGGCGGCGUGCCUAAUACAUGCAAGUCGAGCGAACAGACGAGGCGCUUGCUCCUCUGACGUUAGCGGCGGACGGGUGAGUAACACGUGGAUAACCUACCUAUAAGACUGGGAUAACUUCGGGAAACCGGAGCUAAUACCGUAUAAUAUAUUGAACCGCAUGGUUCAAUAGUGAAAGACGGUUUUGCUGUCACUUAUAGAUGGAUCCGCGCCGCAUUAGCUAGUUGGUAAGGUACCGGCGUACCAAGGCAACGAUGCGUAGCCGACCUGAGAGGGGGAUCGGCCACCCGGGAACUGAGACACGCUCCAGACUCCUACGAGAGGCAGCAGUAGGGAACCUUCCGCAAUGGGCGAAAGCCUGACGGAGCAACGCCGAGUGAGUGAUGAAGGUGUUCGGAUCGUAAAACUCUGUUAUUAGGGAAGAACAAAUGUGUAAGUAACUAUGCACGUCUUGACGGUACCGAAUCAGAAAGCCACGGCUAACUACGUG
rnacentral:rRNA from 1 species